rnacentral:rRNA from 1 species
UACGUAGGGUGCAAGCGUUGUCCGGAAUUAUUGGGCGUAAAGAGCUCGUGGGCGGUCUGUCGCGUCUGCUGUGAAAACUCAGGGCUUAACCCUGAGCUUGCAGUGGGUACGGGCAGACUAGAGUGCGGUAGGGGAGACUGGAAUUCCUGGUGUAGCGGUGAAAUGCGUAGAUAUCUGGAGGAACACCGGUGGCGAAGGCGGCAUCCUGGACCGGCAUUGACGCUGAGGCGCGAAAGCCAGGGGAGCAAACGGG